AUUGAACGCUGGCGGCAGGCCUAACACAUGCAAGUCGAACGGUAACAGGAAACAGCUUGCUGUUUCGCUGACGAGUGGCGGACGGGUGAGUAAUGUCUGGGAAACUGCCUGAUGGAGGGGGAUAACUACUGGAAACGGUAGCUAAUACCGCAUAACGUCGCAAGACCAAAGAGGGGGACCUUCGGGCCUCUUGCCAUCGGAUGUGCCCAGAUGGGAUUAGCUAGUAGGUGGGGUAACGGCUCACCUAGGCGACGAUCCCUAGCUGGUCUGAGAGGAUGACCAGCCACACUGGAACUGAGACACGGUCCAGACUCCUACGGGAGGCAGCAGUGGGGAAUAUUGCACAAUGGGCGCAAGCCUGAUGCAGCCAUGCCGCGUGUAUGAAGAAGGCCUUCGGGUCGUAAAGUACUUUCAGCGGGGAGGAAGGGAGUAAAGUUAAUACCUUUGCUCAUUGACGUUACCCGCAGAAGAAGCACCGGCUAACUUCGUG
rnacentral:rRNA from 1 species